rnacentral:lncRNA from 1 species
AUGAAUUGUAAAUGUGUCUGUGGCUGUGAUGCCUUGUCGGCCGCCUUCUGUGGGGCUCCACGCCUUUCACCAGUGAGCACGGUGCCCGCGGAGCAUCCCCCACAGCGCAUUCUGCUCGGAAUGUGCAGAAGUUCUCGCAUCUAUGGCUUGAUGACGUCCUGCAGCAGUUUUAGGAAAGUGGGUCGUCAUCUGCUGACUCAGUGCGUUUCUGUGAUUUCUGGCCCUACCCCUCGGGGAGCCCUGCUCUUCCCUCUUCUCUCCCUGCUGCAGGCCGGACACCCUCUGCAGACCUGCGGUCCCCCCGGUGGGUCUUCCUUCCGCGGGGCAUCACCCACGCCAGGACCGGGGCCCGGCACCUGCUGCUCAGGGGCGCGCGCGUACGUCAGACGGAAGGUCAGGAAGCCCCGCAGUCCUGCCCCCGGGCUCCCUCCUAGCACCCUGCCAAGCACGCUGCCCCCGGGCUCCGUCCCAGCACCCCGCCAUCGGGAGGCUGGCUGACUAGGACAAAGGCCUAGCUGAGACGGUGCCGCGGGUAAUGGGAGCAGAACCUCGGUGGCUCACCAGCUAUUUUCAUCCCUGAGGAGAAAGCAUCGGUGUCAGCGUUGAACCAGCUGCGGCUUCCACAGGAUGUCAGACGGAGACAGGUGGGUAUGCUGUCCCCUGCCCCCGCCCGCCCGCCCGGGACACAGGGCUGGGCCCAUGCUCAGCUGAGGACUCUGGGAGAUCUGACUGCGGGGCUUCUCAUCCUUCCCCUGUGCGGCUAGGGGACUCCUGCUGGGGGGACGGGUGAGAGGUCCUCCCCCGUUUGCCACUUCCUCCUGCAGAGGAGGGAACACCCUGGACACUGCCGCUGGGGAGGCUGCGGCCUGGGAGCCCGGGGGAGGGGGCACAGGGACCCCAGGUGUGCUGCCCUCCCCAGGGGCCCCCCAGCUCCAGCCUCACGAUCCCUCCCCCGCCCCCAGAGCCGAGCAGAAGCCCAGGGCAGGGAUGCUGCUCUCGGGGAGCUCAGUUAGAUGGCUUUCCCGGAGGCAGUGCCGUGUGGCCGGGACCGUGAGUGGGAAAGGGGUCUUGCUAACUCCAGAGAAAAGCAAACAAUGUGGGAAGUUUGGACCUAGAUGGUUGAGUUGGAAAUCCCUGGUUUAAAAAAUGGAAUUAAAAAAAAAAAAAUAAAGGGUACCCCGGGUGGCUCAGCAGUUUAGCGGCUGCCUUCAGCCCAGGGUCUGAUCCUGGAGACCUGGGAUUGAGUCUUGCAUCGGGCUCCCUGCAUGGAGCCUGCUUCUCCCUUUGCCUAUGUCUCUGCCUCUCUCUCAAUCUGUCUCUUAUGAAUAAAUAGAUAAAAUCUUUAAAAUAAAUGGAAUUUUAUUUAUUUAUUUUUCUAAAUUUUUGUUUUGCUUUGUUUUUAUUCAAGUUCGAUUUGCCAACAUACAAUAUCACACCCAGUGCUCAUCCUACCAGAUACCCUCCUCAGUGCCCGCCACCUGGUUACUCCAACCCCCUGCCCACCUCCCCUUCUGCAACUCUUUUUAACAGGUGUCAGUAGAAGUGUUGACAUGAUCAGCUCUGUGCCCUGGGAGACUUGGAUGUCCCCCCAGAGUCUCCCUGUCCUCAUCUGUGAGUUGGGGUAGUGGUCAUGAUGGGGCUCUGGCAGCAGUGAGUGGGGAGCAGGGUUAGGUUCUGUGUCUGCAGCAUCAGCUGUGCAGCCUGGUUCGAGGUGAACACUCACAGUCUCAGUGCUCUUCGUUUUUACCGUUGUGGCGAUCAUUUUAAUUAAUGUCUCAGUCAAUCAUUUCUGUAAGACAGUGACUCAGUUCCAAAGGCAGUGGUUGUAAAAGCGUCUUCUUGGUAAACACUUGUUUGUUUGACUCGGGUUUGGGCUGAGGAGUUAAGUGCCAUGUAUCAUCCAACAAGACUUUCCUCCUUUGUGCCGAAAUACCUGGUUCACCUUCAACUGGGUUUUCCUCUGAGAUGUUAUUGUUCUU